rnacentral:rRNA from 1 species
AUUGAACGCUGGCGGCAGGCCUAACACAUGCAAGUCGCACGAGUGGCGGACGGGUGAGUAAUGUCUGGGAAACUGCCCGAUGGUGGGGGAUAACUACUGGAAACGGUAGCUAAUACCGCAUACCAUCGGAUGUGCCCAGAUGGGAUUAGCUAGUAGGUGGGGGAACGUCUCACCUAGGCGGCGAUCCCUAGCUGGUCUGAGAGGAUGACCCGCCGCACUGGAACGGAGACACGGUCCACAAUCCUACGGGAGGCAGCAGUGGUGAAUAUUGAACAAUGGGGGCAAACCGGAUGCAGCCAUGCCGCGUGUAUGAAGAAGGCCUUCGGGUUGUAAAGUACUUUCAGCGAGGAGGCGUUACUCGCAGAAGAAGCACCGGCUAACUCCGUGCCAGCAGCCGCGGUAAUUC